rnacentral:tRNA from 1 species
GGACCCUUAGCUCAGUUGGUUAGAGCGCCUCCCUGACACGGAGGAGGCCAGUAGUUCGAGUCUACUAGGGUCCACCA